rnacentral:tRNA from 1 species
AUUAAAAAGAAGCUUUUAAGAAGCAUAGAAUUUUUAAUUCUAGGAAGUGUAGGUUAUUCACACCUUUUUA